rnacentral:rRNA from 1 species
GGGUUGUGAGGUUAAGCAACUAAGCGUACACGGUGGAUGCCCUGGCAGUCAGAGGCGAUGAAGGACG